rnacentral:rRNA from 1 species
ACGGGAGGCAGCAGUGAGGAAUAUUGGUCAAUGGGCGGAAGCCUGAACCAGCCAAGUCGCGUGAGGGAAGACGGCCCUACGGGUUGUAAACCUCUUCUGCGCGGGGGUAAAGUCGGGGACGGGUCCCCGAUUGCAAGUACCGCGCGAAAAAGGAUCGGCUAACUCCGUGCCAGCAGCCGCGGUAAUACGGAGGAUCCGAGUGUUAUCCGGAUUUAUUGGGUUUAAAGGGUGCGCAGGCGGGAUGUCAAGUCAGUGGUGAAAUGGUGCGGCUCAACCGUAGCAUUGCCGUUGAAACUGGCGUCCUUGAGUGCGAAUGAGGUACGCGGAACGUGUCAUGUAGCGGUGAAAUGCAUAGAUAUGACACAGAACACCGAUUGCGAAGGCAGGAUACCAUACCAUAUCUGACGCUCAGGCACGAAAGCGUGGGGAUCGAACAGGAUUAGAUACCCUGGUA